rnacentral:rRNA from 1 species
UACAGAGGGUGCGAGCGUUGUCCGGAAUCACUGGGCGUAAAGGGCGCGUAGGCGGCCCGGCAAGUCAAUGGUGAAAGCUCAGGCUCAACCUCUGAGUCGGCCACUGAUACUGCGGGGCUCGAGUCUGGUAGAGGCAGAUGGAAUUCCGGGUGUAGCGGUGGAAUGCGUAGAGAUCCGGAAGAACACCGGUGGCGAAGGCGGUCU